CACUCAAUUGACAAAAAUCUCCAAAUUAAUCAAUUUUACUUAAAUUAUCCAAUUUUAAUCCGACUCAACCCACCUAAUAAUAUAACCCAUUUUAUUCUAUCUUCAUCUUCAAACUUGUGAAUUCCCGUAGCUUUAAGUACAUCGGAAAAAUUCCAAUAAUGUUCUAAAGCUGACAUAGGUUGAAACAUAUGCAUCACAAUUCAUCAAUUAAUAAUUUCUUCCAUACCUGCUUGAUAUAAAGUUCAAUGUUGGUGGAUGGUUCAUGAACUAUGCGAGAUCUUCAAAUAAGACAGAAGAAGUUUCCAAAGAGACCCACAUCGAUAGCAAUGUCCAGCCACCACCGUGACUCCGAUAGACCGAAGAAAAUCAGCAACGACGAAUUGGAGCUCCAAACUCCAGUAAUUCCUACAAUUUUUUUUAGAUCUAACUGAGAAAUAAUGCUUGGAUUAUCCGUAUUUAAUCAUUGUUGUGUUCUUGUGUUUAUAGUCAUUUAUUACAUUAUUUUUGAUAUUGUUGGGAUGUGUUGGAUGAUUUUAUUGUUUUUGAAAAGGAACACAAGUUUGAGGAUGAAGAUGAAGAGAGAACAAAAAUGAGUUAUAUUAUUAGGUGAAUUGGGAUCAGAUUAAAAUUAUGUAAUUUAAGUAAAAAUUGAUCAUUUUGAAAAUUUUAUUUUUAUAAUGUUUCCUAAUAAAUAUGAUAUAAAUAUAUAAAUGAUUGGGUAAUUUCUCCAUAAUUGAAUGAAUUAGAAAGGCCCAGAAGUUGUGGGUUUUGCUACUAAAUCCGAGCCCAUAUGAAUUUUUUCAUCCCUCCUAAACCCUAAAGUCACCCCACCACCUAUAAAAACUCCUGUUUCCUCAUCAAUCCAUUCAUCUUUCACUUUGCUAUGGCUGCCCUUGAUCCAUUUAUCUAGUAUUACGUUUUUUUGCUAUGGCUGCUCGGGUUCGAUUCUGAUACUAUUUGCGUUUUCCUUUCAAAUUUCACUCUUCUUUUAGUACUUUGGUUUCGUCUUUUUGCUAUAUUUAUGGUUUGUUUUGGGAGUUUCUCAGUGAUGAACAAACACAGAUGACGAGUCUGAUAUCCAUUCUUUUAAAAUUAUGAAGACGAAACGAGGCAUUUGUCUGAGAGGAACUCCGAUCUGAAUCAUUUUUU